AGAGUUUGAUCCUGGCUCAGAACGAACGUUGGCGGCAUGGAGUAGGCAUGCAAGUCGCGCGAAUGCCCGCAAGGGUGGAAGCGGCGUAAGGGGCAGUAAGGCGUGGAUAACCUACCCUGUGGUCUGGCAUAGCCCGUCGAGAGACGGGGUAAUUCCGGGCGAAGCGAUGACUGGGCAUCUGGUGGUCGCCAAAGCUACGGCGCCGCGGGAGGGGUCCACGUGGUAUUAGCUAGUUGGUGAGGUAACGGCUCACCAAGGCGGAGAUGCCUAGCGGGUGUGAGAGCACGACCCGCGCCACUGGCACUGAGACUCUGGCCAGACACCUACGGGUGGCUGCAGUCGAGGAUCUUCGGCAAUGGGCGCAAGCCUGACCGAGCGAUGCCGCGUGGGCGACGAAGGCCUUCGGGUUGUAAAGCCCUGUCGAGGGGGAGAAACUUUGAUCUAUCCCUGGAGGAAGCUCGGGCUAAGUUCGUGCCAGCAGCCGCGGUAAGACGAACCGAGCGAACGUUGUUCGGAAUCACUGGGCUUAAAGGGCGCGUAGGCGGGCCGCAUGGUCCGGGGUGAAAUCCUCCCGCUUAACGGGAGAACGGCCCCGGAUACCGGUGGUCUUGAGGGGGGUAGGGGCGUGCGGAACACUGGGUGGAGCGGUGAAAUGCGUUGAUAUCCAGUGGAACUCCGGUGGCGAAGGCGGCACGCUGGACCUUUUCUGACGCUGAGGCGCGAAAGCCAGGGGAGCAAACGGGAUUAGAUACCCCGGUAGUCCUGGCCCUAAACGAUGAGAACUAGGUAGUCGGCCAGACAUGGGCUGACUGCCGGAGCGAAAGUGCUAAGUUCUCCGCCUGGGGAGUAUGGUCGCAAGGCUGAAACUCAAAGGAAUUGACGGGGGCUCACACAAGCGGUGGAGCAUGUGGCUUAAUUCGAGGCUACGCGAAGAACCUUAUCCUGGGCUUGACAUGUGCGAAAGCGGUGGGAAGUAGGACCCGGAAACGGGAGCGAACGGUAUCCAAUCCGGAACCCAUUACAGGUGCUGCAUGGCUGUCGUCAGCUCGUGUCGUGAGAUGUCGGGUUAAGUCCCAUAACGAGCGAAACCCUUACCCUCAGUUGCCAGCGGGUCAUGCCGGGGACUCUGGGGGGACUGCCGGUGUCAAACCGGAGGAAGGCGGGGAUGACGUCAAGUCCUCAUGGCCUUUAUGCCCAGGGCUGCACACGUGCUACGAUGGCGUGAACAAAGGGAUGCAAGCCCGCGAGGGGGAGCGAAUCCCGGAAAACACGCCCCAGUUCAGAUCGUAGGCUGCAACUCGCCUACGUGAAGUUGGAAUCGCUAGUAAUCGCGGGUCAGCAACACCGCGGUGAAUGUGUUCCUGAGCCUUGCACACACCGCCCGUCAAGCCACGAAAGGGUGGAGCGCCCGAAGUCACCUUCGCCGGUGCCGAAGGCGAAACGCCUGAUUGGGACUAAGUCGUAACAAGGUAACC
rnacentral:rRNA from 1 species